GAUGAAGACGUAGCGAAAUGCGAUACUUGGUGUGAAUUGCAGAAUCCCGUGAACCAUCGAGUCUUUGAACGCAAGUUGCGCCCGAAGCCAUUAGGCCGAGGGCACGCCUGCCUGGGCGUCACACGUCGUUGCCCCCCCCAUCUACUCCUUCGGGAUUGCGGGGGGCGGAUGAUGGCCUCCCGUGCGCCUCGCCGCGCGGUUGGCAUAAAUGCCAAGUCCUCGGCGACGCACGCCACGACAAUCGGUGGUUGCGAAACCUCGGUUGCCCGUCGUGUGCGGUCGUCGCGCAUCGAGGGCUCGAAAAAAUUGCCGAGUUCCGGCUCGGCUUUCAACGCGACCCCAGGUCAGGCGGGGUUACCCGCUGAAUUUAAGCAUAUCAAUAAGCGGAGGA
rnacentral:misc_RNA from 1 species